UGUCAAAUGGAAGCUUUCCAUGCAGUGGAAUCCACAGCAGCCCUCGGUGGCAUGUGGGGCUGCAAGCCAGAUAUACCUGAAAGCAAAUGCUUGCCUUGCUUUCUCUCUGCUUCAGAAUGAUGAUGCAGGGCUACCAAAGGGAAAUACUGAGAAUGUCAAGUCAAACAAAUCAUAGCUCUUCUCCCGUGGCUCCUUUGACCUUGUUCCAAGGUUUACUCUAAUAAAGGACCAAGUUAAAAAUACUUCACAACUCCCAUUCUGAAUUGAGAAGAAAGGGACUGCACUGAUUAAUAAACAGAGGUGUGAUAUAUUGUAAUUCUUUCUAAUUUCAUUGAAAUUUCCUGCUGCUUCUUGAGGAGUGGUCUGGAUAUCAUCAAUAUUUUUGCAUUAUUAUUAAUUUAAAGUAUUCACUGGAGAUUAUUUUUGAAGACUGGGAUCCAGGUAUAUCCUAGAUGAUCAAAAAUCAUUUUACAACAAAUACAUUUGCACCAGAAUGUUUAUUGCAGCCCAAUUCAUAAUUGCCAAGACGUGGAAACAGCUCAGGAACUCGUGGACUCACGAAUGGAUUAACAAAUUAUGGUAUGUGCACUGUGGAAUACUAUGCAGCCAUAAAAGGAUGGUGACUUCACAUCUUUUCUGUUUACCUGGAUGGAGCUGGAACAUAUUCUUCUUAGAAAAGUAUCUCAAGAAUGGGAAAAAAAGUAUCCAAUGUACUCAAUACUAAUACUACUAUGAAAUCAAUAUAUAAACACCUACACAUUCAUAUGAAUGGUAAAACAUAACUAUAGUCCAGAAAGUAGAAGGGAAGAGGAGAGAGAGGGGAGGAGAGUGGGAAGGCAGGAGGAGGGAGGGUAUUUGGGGGGACCUCACCUAACGUGCAUGAUGCAAUGGUACAUUUCAAAACUAUUAAGAAAAGAGUAUAAUUGUGAUGGAUGUGUUACUUAGUUCAAUGUAAGCAUUUCACAUUGUAUAUCAAAUCAGUACACUGAACCCCAUAAAUACAUCAAUGUACACAGUUAUUAUUUAAUAAAUUUUUUUUUAAACACAUAAAUCAUAGAAAUAUGUCAUGGCUGAAAUUCAAUGUGUUUAGUCUGUG